rnacentral:rRNA from 1 species
GAUGAACGCUGGCGGCGUGCCUAAUACAUGCAAGUCGAGCGAACGGACGAGAAGCUUGCUCCUCUGACGUUAGCGGCGGACGGGUGAGUAACACGUGGAUAACCUACCUAUAAGACUGGGAUAACUUCGGGAAACCGGAGCUAAUACCGGAUAAUAUAUUGAACCGCAUGGUUCAAUAGUGAAAGACGGUUUUGCUGUCACUUAUAGAUGGAUCCGCGCCGCAUUAGCUAGUUGGUAAGGUAACGGCUUACCAAGGCAACGAUGCGUAGCCGACCUGAGAGGUUGAUCGGCCACACUGGAACUGAGACACGGUCCGGACUCCUACGGGAGGCAGCAGUAGGGAAUCUUCCGCAAUGGGCGAAAGCCUGACGGAGCAACGCCGCGUGAGUGAUGAAGGUCUUCGGAUCGUAAAACUCUGUUAUUAGGGAAGAACAAAUGUGUAAGUAACUAUGCACGUCUUGACGGUACCUAAUCAGAAAGCCACGGCUAACUACGUG